UUUCCGUAGGUGAACCUGCGGAAGGAUCAUUN
rnacentral:rRNA from 1 species